GACGAACGCUGGCGGCGUGCUUAACACAUGCAAGUCGAACGAUGAAACCUAGCUUGCUAGGUCGAUUAGUGGCGAACGGGUGAGUAACACGUGACUAACCUGCCCCUUUCUCUGGGAUAACGCUCCGAAAGGAGUGCUAAUACCGGAUACUCACAUCGAGGCACAUGCCUUGAUGUGGAAAGUUUUUCUGAAAGGGAUGGAGUCGCGGCCUAUCAGCUUGUUGGUGAGGUAACGGCUCACCAAGGCGACGACGGGUAGCCGGCCUGAGAGGGCGACCGGCCACAAUGGGACUGAGACACGGCCCAGACUCCUACGGGAGGCAGCAGUGGGGAAUAUUGCACAAUGGGCGCAAGCCUGAUGCAGCGACGCCGCGUGAGGGAUGAAGGUCUUCGGAUUGUAAACCUCUUUCAGUAGGGACGAAGCGAAAGUGACGGUACCUAAAGAAGAAGCACCGGCUAACUACGUGCCAGCAGCCGCGGUAA
rnacentral:rRNA from 1 species